GUGGCUCAUGACUAAUCCCAGAUCUUUGGGAGGCCGAGGUGUGUGGAUCACCUGAGGUCAGGAGUUCAAGACCAGCCUGGCCAACAUGGUGAAACCCUGUCUCCAUUGAAAAUACAAAUAUUAGCUGGGUGUAGUGGUACAUGCCUGUCUUCCCAGCUACUCAGGAGGAUAUUAACUCCACAAAAGUUGGAAUUGCUAAGAGCCCAAAUACAACAAGAAUUAGAAACUCCAAUGAGAGAACGUUUUAGGAAUCUAGAUGAAGAGGUGGAAAAGUAUAGAGCUGUAUAUAAUAAGCUUCGCUAUGAACAUACAUUUCUCAAGUCAGAAUUUGAACACCAGAAGGAAGAGUAUGCACGUAUUUUAGAUGAAGGAAAAAUAAGAUAUGAAUCAGAGAUUGCAAGACUGGAGGAAGAUAAAGAAGAACUACGUAACCAGCUGCUUAAUGUUGAUCUCACAAAAGACAGCAAACGAGUGGAACAACUUGCUCGAGAAAAAGUCUAUUUGUGUCAAAAAUUAAAAGGUUUAGAGGCUGAAGUAGCGGAAUUAAAGGCUGAAAAGGAGAAUUCUGAGGCUCAGGUGGAAAAUGCCCAAAGAAUACAGGUGCGGCAGUUGGCUGAGAUGCAGGCUACAGUCAGAUCCCUGGAGGCUGAAAAACAAUCAGCUAAUUUACGGGCAGAACGCUUGGAAAAAGAGCUACAAUCAAGCAGUGAACAAAAUACCUUUUUAAUUAAUAAAUUGCAUAAAGCUGAACGAGAAAUAAAUACAUUGUCCAGUAAAGUAAAAGAACUUAAACAUUCCAACAAACUGGAAAUAACAGACAUCAAACUGGAGACAGCAAGAGCUAAGAGUGAGCUAGAAAGA
rnacentral:sRNA from 1 species